rnacentral:rRNA from 1 species
UACAGAGGUGGCAAGCGUUGUUCGGAAUUACUGGGCGUAAAGGGCGCGUAGGCGGCUUGGUCAGUCCCGUGUGAAAUCCCUCGGCUCAACUGAGGAACUGCACGGGAAACUGCCUAGCUUGAGUUCGGGAGAGGGAAGCGGAAUUCCGGGUGUAGCGGUGAAAUGCGUAGAUAUCGGGAGGAACACCAGUGGCGAAGGCGACUACCUGGCCUGUUCUUGACGCUGAGGCGCGAAAGCUAGGGGAGCAAACGGG